rnacentral:rRNA from 1 species
UCAGUUCGGAUUGGAGUCUGNAACCCGACUACAUGAAGCUGGAAUCGCUAGUAAUCGCGGAUCAGAAUGCCGCGGUGAAUACGUUCCCGGGUCUUGUACACACCGCCCGUCACACCAUGGGAGUCGGAAAUGCCCGAAGUCAGUGACCCAACCGGAAGGAAGGAGCUGCCGAAGGUGGAGCCGGUAACUGGGGUGAAGUCGUAACAAGGUAGC